AAGGCUUUGAUGUCAGGAAGGAAGCAAGCAGAGGUGUUAGGAGAUAAAGAGACUCUUCCACUUGUCAGCCAUUUGCCCUUGGGGAUAAAAUAAGAGAUGCACAAGAAGAGUGACCUACACUUUCCUGGUGAAGUACAGAGGAAGAUCAGGAAGGAAGGGGUUAACUUUCUGAUCAUGUCAAUUUAUCUGAAGAAAUAGCUGCAAGUAGGCAGGUGGAGAACAGCCAUUCCCACAGCUACAGGUUUGGAACUGCUGAUGGUGAGCUAACCUUCUGCUUAACAUCUGUAGAAAACAAAGCUGUCUUCUUUUCUUUGGUCAGCUUUAAUACACUGAAGAAGCCAAACACACAUGAUUAAAUGUGGCUUUUCCAAACCAGACAUUA